UACAGAGGGGGCAAGCGUUAUUCGGAAUUAUUGGGCGUAAAGGGCGCGUAGGCGGCUUGGCAAGUGGAAGGUGAAAUCCCUCGGCUUAACCGAGGAACUGCCCUCCAAACUGCUUGGCUUGAGACCGGGAGAGGUGAGUGGAAUUCCCAGUGUAGCGGUAGAAAUGCGUAGAUAUUGGGAGGAACACCAGUGGCGAAGGCGGCUCACUGGACCGGUACUGACGCUGAUGCGCGAAAGCGUGGGGAGCAAACGGGG
rnacentral:rRNA from 1 species